AGCGAACGCUGGCGGCAGGCCUAACACAUGCAAGUCGAACGGACCCUUCGGGGUUAGUGGCGGACGGGGGAGUAACACGUGGGAACGUGCCUUUAGGUUCGGAAUAGCUCCUGGAAACGGGUGGUAAUGCCGAAUGUGCCCUUCGGGGGAAAGAUUUAUCGCCUUUAGAGCGGCCCGCGUCUGAUUAGCUAGUUGGUGAGGUAAUGGAUCACCAAGGCGACGAUCAGUAGCUGGUCUGAGAGGAUGACCAGCCACAUUGGGACUGAGACACGGCCCAAACGCCUACGGGAGGCAGCAGUGGGGAAUCCUGCGCAAUGGGCGAAAGCCUGACGCAGCCAUGCCGCGUGGAUGAUGAAGGUCUUAGGAUUUUAAAAUCCUUUCACCGGUGAAGAUAAUGACUGUAGACGGAGAAGAAGCCCGGCUAACUUCGUGCCAGCCGCCGCCGUAAGAC
rnacentral:rRNA from 1 species